AGAGUUUGAUCCUGGCUCAGGAUGAACGCUGACAGAAUGCUUAACACAUGCAAGUCGAUGGGGAAGUGGUGCUUGCACCAUGGUAACCAUGGCGGACGGGUGAGUAACGCGUAAGGGACUUACCUGCAGGACUGGGAUAACAGGGGGAAACUCCUGACAAGACCGGAUAAUGUCAUGGAGCUGCAUGGCUUUAUGAUGAAAGGAGACGCCUGCGGAGAGCCUUGCGUCCUAUUAGCUAGUUGGUGAGGUAAAGGCUCACCAAGGCGAAGAUAGGUAGCCGGCCUGAGAGGGUGGACGGCCACAAGGGGACUGAGAUACGGCCCUUACUCCUACGGGAGGCAGCAGUGGGGAAUAUUGGACAAUGGGGGCAACCCUGAUCCAGCAAUUCUGUGUGCACGAAGAAGGUUUUCGGAUUGUAAAGUGCUUUCAGCAGGGAAGAAGGAAGUGACGGUACCUGCAGAAGAAGCGACGGCUAAAUACGUG
rnacentral:rRNA from 1 species